GACGGAGAACUGCGAGGAGCUAACCCUAGUACGAGAUGAUUGGGUUGGGUUAACCUAUGUUGUACCAGUUGUUAUGCCAACAGCAGCACCGGGCAGCUAAAUUGGCAUGGAAGAAAUGUUGCGCUGCGGAAAAUCCUUUUGUAUAGAAGUUCUUGUGCAAGGUUUUUGAACGUAAUUUCGGUAGGCAAGAGGUGUAAGCACCGCGAGGUGUGAAGCGAUCUCGUACUAAAAGAAUGU
rfam:Oryza sativa Japonica Group DNA, chromosome 3, cultivar: Nipponbare, complete sequence.